rnacentral:rRNA from 1 species
GGCUCUAUGUAUAUAUAUAGAGUCUGACCUGCCCGGUGUAAGUAGAAUUAUUAACGGCCGCAGUAUCCUGACUGUGCAAAGGUAGCAUAAUCAUUUGUCUCUUAAUUAGGGGCUGGUAUGAAUGGUUGGACAAGAACUGAGCUGUCUCAAUGCGUUUUUUUAGAAUUUAACUUGUAAGUGAAAAGGCUUAUAUGGAUUUGAUAGACAAGAAGACCCUAUCGAGCUUUAGAUUUUUAGUUGGGAGAAUAAGAAUAAAUCUUUGGUUGGGGCGACUGAGGAAUAGUUAAAACUUCCUUGAAUAAGUGGAAAACUAGUGAGUGUUGAUCCAUAAGAUGAUACAUAGAAAAGCUACCGUAGGGAUAACAGCGUUAUUUUUUUUGAGAGUUCUAAUCGAAAAAAAAGUUUGCGACCUCGAUGUUGGACUAGAGGGGCCUGAGGAGCAGAAA